UAAAGAUACCAGCUGAUAGGGUCUUUGCGAACGUUUUAUUAUUUGAAGAUGGGAAGUAUGCAGGUUUUGACAAGGAACAGCCAACAUCAGAAUCCGGAGGCAAAGGGCGUGUCAUCAGUAUCUUGAAGAAGAAGUAUGGUUAUCAGAAACUUGUGAUGAUAGGAGAUGGGGCCACUGAUAUGGAAGCCUGUCCACCAGGGGAUGCAUUUAUUGGAUUUGGUGGCAAUCAGAUCAGACAAAAAGUCCAGCUGGAGGCCGAGUGGUUUGUAACGGACUUCAAUGAACUGAUCAGUGAGCUUUCCAGAUGAUGUCAACAUCUAGGAUGCUGAGGAAUGAUUAGUUUGUACUGUACUUAGCAACUUAAAAGGAGUAUAGAAAUGAAGACCCUAGAAGUUGCCAGUGAUUACAGGAGAGAUGUCAAAAGACUUAAUGAGAUGAUCCAGUACAGCAGUGGUAUGAUCUCAGCAAGUGAACUGUCCGUGAUGCAUGAAGCAUUCGAGAGCAUCAUAGGUGACCUUAGUGAGCUGAAGUGUGACACACGCCAUUUUGGUCCUGGAAAAAAGAAUUGUACUGUGUAGAUUCUGUUAAGUCACUGCCUUGAAUCAUUAGUCUUUGUUCCAGACAUUUCAUCAUUUUCAAAAGGAACCUGUAUUUUACUUAUCUUUUAUUAUUUAUGUGAUGUAGUAUUAAAGUAUGAUUUGCUGUGGCAUGAUUUAAGCCAUAUGUUAUUUGAAUCCAUGUCACAUAGUUUGCACAAGUACAGGCACAUUGUAUAAAAUGCGAUAUCUUAGAGACCAAAAUGAUAUGUAUGUAUAAGAGAAAUUUAAGUGUGAUUUAUUAUUGUAGCACUUCCAUUAAGCCACCCUAAUUUCCAGACUUGACCACAGAGGAAAAGAGGACUUUUAAAAUCACUUAGUUAUAACUAAUUGUUAUGGGACCAAUGGAAUUUGUGAGUAUGCUUCCCUUUUGGCAAAACUCGCAUUCAUACUGUAGAUAAUGAGAGAGAUUGGACGCACAACACUUUGGAGUAAAUUGCAAUGCACCUUAUUAGAAUUUGUCCCUUGAAAGAUUUGAUCUCAGAUAUGUACUUUGUAAGUUACAUUAACAUGAAAAAGUGCAAUAGACUGAAUCAAGUUUACUUUUACUGUAUUUAAGUCUCAUAUGUACUUUGAUUGCCACAAAAAAACCCAUACAUGAAAUUUAUUCAUAGCCAAUAGCUAGUGUAUGGUUUUAAAUUGUUGAGAAACCAUAUGGUAUUUAGCCGUUAAAUGGUAUUCAUUCAUCAGUUUUGUGUCAAGUAAUUGCUGUGGUUUUCCCACUGUCACUUAUUUUUGCAUUUAGUAUUUCAAUUGUUUUAGUUUAAAAUACUUUGACCUGUUUCUGUUAAGCCAUGUUUGUUGUGUUUGGCAAGAAAGUUCAAUGUUUAUUUCAGUCUCAUAUAUUCUGGGUUUAUUUUUCCUGUUAAAAUCUUAUCACUGCCCGCCAUAUUAUCACUAGUAGUGGAGUUAAAUUUGUUUUUCACACUUGUUAAAAUAAAAGGGACAGGGGACCAGGUCAGGAAAAUGGGUCAGUUUAAGGCAUUGAACCCCUAUACAGUACUAGUACCAGUAUGACCCUAAAAUAUCUGAGUACUGUGAGAGAAAUGGACAUCUUAUGUAAAGACUGUUAACAUUUGAAUUACUCUAAUUGGCGGGUGCUGAUUGUGUCAAAUGCCACUCUGCCACUGCAAAAUUUAAAACUAUUUACUGUACUACUGGCAUGUUGUUUUACUUGUAUACCAAGUAUAAGUUAAAAUUUAAUCAUAAACAUAAACAUGAUGUGGAAUGCACUCUUGUGCUUAUUUGUUAAAUAUUUGGCAUGUAAAAACUAGAAUUGUAUUCAAACUAGUGAGGAACAUUUUAGGAAAUAUUUUGA